GCAAAGGGGUAGCUCAACGGUAGAGCAGGAGCCAAAAGGCUGACCGGUAGCGGGUUCGACUCCCGCCCCCUGCG
rnacentral:tRNA from 1 species